rnacentral:rRNA from 1 species
CCUACGGGGGGCAGCAGUGGGGGAUAUUGCACAAUGGGGGGAACCCUGAUGCAGCGACGCCGCGUGGGUGAAGAAGCGCCUCGGCGCGUAAAGCCCUGUCAGCAGGGAAGAAAAUGACGGUACCUGCAGAAGAAGCCCCGGCUAACUACGUGCCAGCAGCCGCGGUAAUACGUAGGGGGCAAGCGUUAUCCGGCUUUACUGGGUGUACAGGGGGCGCAGGCGGCGAUGCAAGCCAGGAGGGAAAGCCCGGGGGCCAACCCCGGGACUGCUCUUGGAACUGCGUGGCUGGAGUGCAGGAGGGGCAGGCGGAAUGCCUGGUGUAGCGGUGAAAUGCGUAGAUAUCAGGAGGAACACCGGUGGCGAAGGCGGCCUGCUGGACUGCAACUGACGUUGAGGCCCGAAAGCGUGGGGAGCAAACAGGAUUAGAUACCCGUGUAGUC